GACGAACGCUGGCGGCGCGCUUAACACAUGCAAGUCGAGCGAGAACCAGGGCUUCGGUCUUGGGGACAGCGGCGAACGGGUGAGUAACACGUGGAUAACCUGCCCUCGGCACCGGGAUAGCCCAGGGAAACCCGGAUUAAUACCGGAUGGCCCAGCUGGCUCACGAGCCGGCUGGAAAAGGUAGCUUCGGCCUCCGGCCGAGGAUGGGUCCGCGGCGGAUUAGCUGGUUGGUGGGGGAACGGCCUACCAAGGCUCCGAUCCGUAGCUGGUCUGAGAGGAGGAUCAGCGACACUGGGACUGGGACACGGCCCAGACUCCUACGGGGGGCAGCGGGGGGGAAGCUUGCGCAAUGGGCGAAGGCCGGACGCAGCGACGCCGCGUGAGGGAGGAAGGCCUUCGGGUUGUAAACCUCUUUCAGGAGGGACGAAGCUACUCGGGUGAAUAGCCCAGAGGGUGACGGUACCUACAGAAGAAGCCCCGGCUAACUACGUGCCAGCCGCCGCAGUAACAC
rnacentral:rRNA from 1 species